rnacentral:rRNA from 1 species
UACGAAGGUGGCAAGCGUUGUUCGGAUUCACUGGGCGUAAAGGGUGCGUAGGUGGUCGGGUAAGUCUGAUGUGAAAUCUCUGGGCUCAACCCAGAAAUGGCAUUGGAUACUAUUCGGCUAGAGGAGUGGAGGGGGGACUGGAAUACUUGGUGUAGCAGUGAAAUGCGUAGAUAUCAAGUGGAACACCAGUGGCGAAGGCGAGUCCCUGGACACUUCCUGACACUGAGGCACGAAAGCUAGGGGAGCAAACAGG